rnacentral:ncRNA from 1 species
GUUUCGGGGCGAGGUGUAAUUCCUCACCGGUGGUGAUGCGCGAUAGAGCGAUGAGUCCACGAGCUUCGGCUGAGCUGGUUAGAAUCCGGCACCGACGGUAUAGUCCGGAUGAAAGAAA